UCCCUCAGGAACUCCUCUGAGGGCUGAGGGGCCAUGGGGCCUGCCCGGCCCGGCACAGAGACCCCUCAGCUCCCGGCUGGGUGUGCCUGGGGACACCGAGAGCUCACCGAGCCCACACCAGGCACACACUGCCCGGCUCUCACACACCUCACAGGGCCGAGGGCAGGGCCAGCAGAGCCGCCCCACGGCCCACCCGCUGCAGGACUCACACACCACCCUCACGGUGCCGGGUCCCAGCUCUUCCCACAGGAACUGCCACUCCUCGCCCGCUGGUGCUGGGUGAGGGCAGCGAGAGCUAAACAAAAGGAAAGCAGUAUCACUCAUCAAAGUUGAACAGAAACCUUUCCUAAAUCUACAUGAGGAGAUUCUGACAGCAGUUUCCUGUUCUUCCAAAGAAUACUGUAGCUCCAAAGUGAGACUGAGGAUGUUCUGAAGGCAAACGAUCUGACCCAAGAUUCAAAAACACUUAGAAGGAAAAAACAAGAAUUUUCACCACUGGACUUUACUUUUUGGGAUGCCACUGUGAGCAACUACUUGCACUGGAGGUCCAAUGUUGGUAAAAAAAAAAAAAAAGCCACUGAAGACAAAACACUGAAAAGUACUAACAGUGCUACACCAUCAGUCGCUGGUGCCACGUGUUACAUCUGCAUUAUGUGCAGCAAAACCUGGUGCUCCGGGAUUUAAUACAAAUUUUGCAUGACUUAUCUGAGGUUCACUCAGAUGAAGCAAACUGCAUGAAGUCACAGGAACAUUUUGGUAGCAGAAUCUGAAAGAGUACAUCAACACUGUCUGUGAGCGCACUGCCAAAACCACGGGAAUGCACACAUAAUAAAAUAUCAACUUGAAUAAAUAUCUGGAAGCUGAUACACUGUGUAAGCUCAGGAAUUAAAAUAAUAUUCAGAGUGA